rnacentral:lncRNA from 1 species
GCAUUACUGUCCACAUGUUUGCAAAUAAGGACACAGGCUGAAGGAGGAAGAGCUGAGACACACUCAAUAUUCCAGGAGCCAAACUUGAGAUCUCAGAGUCAGAUAUAAACUUAGUUUUUCAAG